AACCAUAGAAACCUGCGGAGUACCUGCGGAAGGAUCAUUACAGAGUUAUCCAACUCCCAAACCCAUGUGAACUUAUCUCUUUGUUGCCUCGGCGCAAGCUACCCGGGACCCAGCGCCCCGGGCGGCCCGCCGGCGGACAAACCAAAACUCUUGUUAUCUUAGUUGAUUAUCUGAGCGUCUUAUUUAAUAAGUCAAAACUUUUAGCAAUGGAUCU
rnacentral:misc_RNA from 1 species